GACGAACGCUGGCGGCGUGCUUAACACAUGCAAGUCGAACGGAAAGGCCCUGCUUUUGUGGGGUGCUCGAGUGGCGAACGGGUGAGUAACACGUGAGUAACCUGCCCUUGACUUUGGGAUAACUUCAGGAAACUGGGGCUAAUACCGGAUAGGAGCUCCUGCUGCAUGGUGUGGGUUGGAAAGUUUCGGCGGUUGGGGAUGGUCUCGCGGCUUAUCAGCUUGUUGGUGUGGUAGUGGCUUACCAAGGCUUUGACGGGUAGCCGGCCUGAGAGGGUGACCGGCCACAUUGGGACUGAGAUACGGCCCAGACUCCAACGGGAGGCAGCAGUGGAGAAUAUUGCACAAUGGGCGGAAGCCUGAUGCAGCGACGCCGCGUGCGGGAUGACGGCCUUCGGGUUGUAAACCGCUUUCGCCUGUGACGAAGCGUGAGUGACGGUAAUGGGUAAAGAAGCACCGGCUAACUACGUG
rnacentral:rRNA from 1 species